UACGGAGGAUGCGAGCGUUAUCCGGAUUUAUUGGGUUUAAAGGGUGCGUAGGUUGUUUUUUAAGUCAGCGGUAAAAUGUCCGGGCUCAACCCGGGCCGGCCGUUGAAACUGGGGAUCUUGAGUGGGCGAGAAGUAUGCGGAAUGCGCGGUGUAGCGGUGAAAUGCAUAGAUAUCGCGCAGAACUCCGAUUGCGAAGGCAGCAUGCCGGCUCCACACUGACGCUGAGGCGCGAAAGCGUGGGGAGCAAACAGG
rnacentral:rRNA from 1 species